AAACCACAAAUACCUGAUGGAUGGAGGCGGGGGACCCACCGGGUCCGCCGAGAGCGGCCCUGAGGCCAUGACCGGUCUCUCGGGGUGAAGCCGACGACGCACCGUGUGCAUCAAGGCCGGACAGUCCCCCCUGUCCGAACCCGACGCUGACCUCGCAGGCGUAGACAGAGAGGAACU
rnacentral:sRNA from 2 species